rnacentral:rRNA from 1 species
UGCCAGCAGCCGCGGUAACACGAACCGUCCAAACGUUAUUCGGUAUCACUGGGCUUAAAGCGUGCGUAGGCGGCUAUGAAGGUGAGAUGUGAAAGCCCACGGCCCAACCGUGGAACUGCGUUUCAAACCACAUAGCUCGAGGAAGAUAGGGGUGAUGGGAACUUAUGGUGGAGCGGUGAAAUGCGUUGAUAUCAUAGGGAACACCGGUGGCGAAGGCGCAUCACUGGAUCUUUUCUGACGCUGAGGCACGAAAGCUAGGGUAGCGAACGGGAUUAGAUA